AUAAUAAUCAAAUCUCCUAAUGUUUAUUUAAACUUUUUAGAAUUUAAUUAUAGCAAGUAUAAACAAUGUCUGACAUGAUAAUAAAUGAUUCUGUUCCCGUGGACAAAAAAUGGAGUGAAUUAAUUAAAUAUAAUAUAUUUAUUAUGAAAUUGGUCGAGUUUGGCAUAUCAUUCGUAAUAAUGUUACUACCACUAAUAUUUCCAAAGCCACAAGGGCAUAUGUAUUGUAUUGCUACCGGUCCCACAUUCAUAAUAUCUCUAAUAUUCAUCAUUCUUUACUUACGAAGAAAAGUACCAUUGUUUAUGGAAAAAAUGUAUUUAUUUUUU
rnacentral:lncRNA from 1 species